AUUGAACGCUGGCGGCAGGCCUAACACAUGCAAGUCGAGCGAGAGGCGGACGGGUGAGUAAUGUCUGGGAAUCUGCCCGAUAGAGGGGGAUAACUACUGGAAACGGUGGCUAAUCCCGCAUACAAUGGGAUGAACCCCUAUGGGAUUAGCUAGUAGGUGGGGUAAAGGCUCACCUAGGCGACGAUCGCUAGCUGGUCUGAGAGGAUGACCAGCCACACUGGAACUGAGACACGGCCCAGACUCCUACGGGAGGCAGCAGGGGGGAAUAUUGCACAAUGGGCGCAAGCCUGAUGCAGCCAUGCCGCGGGUAUGAAGAAGGCCUUAGGGUUGUAAAGUACUUUCAGCGGGGAGGCGUUACCAGCAGAAGAAGCACCGGCUAACUCCGUGCCAGCAGCCGCGGUAAUAC
rnacentral:rRNA from 1 species